rnacentral:lncRNA from 1 species
UUUUUGCAGCGAUCUCAGGAAAAUACAGUCUGAUGUGGUCAGAUAUUUUCUUCCUUUUUGUGAAUUUGAAAUUUCCACCAAUCAGAACAUUGAACAGGGAUCCUUUUACUGUAUGGCUGCCUUUGCAUAUACCAACGAACUCACGUGUUCACCUGUAUCUGCAUCGAUUAGAAAUUGCACUUCCAGGAAAUAAAAGAAAAGUAAAAUAAAAACAACACAGAAAGAAGAAGGAAGCCCGAGAACGAUAUUUUAAACUAAAACUGGCCUGGAACUGGACUUCAUUGCACUGAACUGAGGACUGGUUUCACCUGGCCUCCAAGAAGAAUGCCAGCCAUGUAAAUUACUUUUUGUAUUUAAUAAAGUCUGUAUCUCCAAUAAUGCUAGAAAUUAUAAUUUUAGCACUAAUCCCUAGUUAUCAACACUAAUAUGACUGAUGCAAUAUUUUUACAUUGUAAUGAUCCUUUUAGCUGGUAUCAGAGAGAAGGUAAUUAGACAUUUUCAUUCCUAUUGCCGACCUCUCCAGGAAUCCUGAUGUUUGUCCUCAAGGUAAUGGGUCAUCAAAAUUACGCAAGCUGCAAGUUGUUCUGUGUGUGUUUUUAUAUCCACCUUUAGGUGGGGGACCUUUCACCAAAUUUAAAUGUGAAUUAGCAUAACCCAUGCUGUUUGUGACUACACUAACAAAAUAUUACCAUAAAUUGUAAAUGUGAUCAUUCUAUGAACUUUACAUCACCAAAGACAUAUGAAAAAAUGGAGACAAAACAAAAAUAAUGUGAUAAUUGGAAAUGAAACACAUGAGAAACAAUGGAAAGCAGUAUCAAUCAGAGACUGGAUGUAUUAUUUCCAGAAGAAAAAAAUUUACAGAAAGAAAAAUUUUUCUAACAUUUUAAUAGUGAUAGGAUUAAAGGGCCUUCAAAAAGAGUCAAAAUCACUGUAAAUAUUAGUUAAAGAAAGCUUUAGACAUAAACAAACACUUUUCAAAAGAAAACAUAUAUGUGGCCAACAAGGAUAUUUAAAAAAGCUCAAUAUCAUUGAUCACUAGAGAAAUGCAAAUCAAAACCACAAUGAGAUACCAUCUCACACCAGUCAGAGUGGUUACUAAUAAAAAGUCAAAAAAAUAACAUAAUGCUGAGGUUGUGGAGAAAAGGGAACCCUUACACAUAUUCCCUGUUCAUGGGAGUAUAAAUUUGUUCAGCCACUGUGGAAAACAAUGGCAAUUCCUCCAAAAGCUAAAAACAGAACUACCAUCCACCCAGCAAUCCCAUUACUGAGUAUAUACCCAAAAUAAUAUAAAUCAUUCUACUAUAAAGAAACAUGCAUGCCUAUGUUUACUGCAGAACUAUUCACAAUAGGAAAGAUGUGACAUCAACCUAAAUGCCCAUCAUCAGUGGACUAGAUAAAGAAAACAUAGUACUUAUACACUAUGGAAUACUAUGCAGUCAUAAAAAAGAACAAGAUCAUGUCCUUUGCAGGGACAUGGAUGGAGACCAUCUUUUUUAGCAAACGAAUGCAGGAACAAAAAAACUAAAUAGGACAUGUUCUCACUUAUAACUGGGAGCUAAAUGAUGAAAACACAUACAAAGAGGGAAAUAACAAACACUGGGACUUAUUGGAAGGUGGAGGGUGGGAGAAGGGAGAGGAUCAGAAAAAAAAAAACAACUGUUGGUUAACAGGCUUAGUGCCUUCGUGAUAAGAUAAUUUGUACAGCAAAUCCCCAUGACACAAGUUUACCUAUGUAACAAACCUGCACAUGUACACCUGAACCUAAUAAAGAAAAGAGAAGAAAAGAAAGUUCUA